rnacentral:lncRNA from 1 species
CUGGAGUGCAAUGGCGUGAUCUCGGCUCACUGCAACCUCUGCCUCCUGGGUUCAGGCGAUUCUCCUGCCUCGGCCUCCCCAGUAGCUGGGAUUACAGGCAUGUGCCACCACGCCCAGCUAAUUUUGUAUUUUUAGUAGAGAUAGGGUUUCUCCACGUUGGUCAGGCUGGUCUCGAACUCCUGACAUCAGGUGAUCCACCCUACUCGGCCUUCCAAAGUGCUGGGAUUACAGGCGUGAGCCACUGCGCC